CAUAAUGCUCUUAAUUGUUCUAUUAAAUCGUGGUAAACAUAAUGAGUAUGAAUUUAAACAUGUAUUUUUAUAAGCUAAAAAAGCAUCACAAUUUGUAAUCAUAACCAGUCAGAGUAGAGUAUCAAAUUUUAUGUCAAGUAACUAUCAGUGCUAUAGUUCCAAGAUUCUGGCCCAAGCGCACCGUCAGGAGUUUCUUGAUGUGUUUUUGCUUCACCGAUGAGGCAGUCUGCCAUGUAUUUAAUUUCUCCUCAUUGCUCUUCUUGAUCCGAACUUCAACUUAUUUUUCUCGUCCAAAAGUCUUGUGUACAACCUCAUAUUCAUUUUUUGGGCCUUUGGGAAGAAUUGCUUCAAGAAACUGUCACGAUCUUAAACCCGGACCCGAUCGUGAUGGCACCUCUCGUGAAAACAAGGCCAUCCGAUAUAUUCCCAAAUUCAUUUAAGCAAUUAAGUAAUAAACCUAAGUCUUUAACAUUAUAAUAAAAAUCCCAAAAUAAGGUAAAUAAUACAAUUGCGAAAUAGACAUAGCCCGACAUCGGAGGUGUCACCAGUCAUGAGAAUCUAUAAUAAUACUACGAGUAUGAAAGAGUCUACUCUACUAUACAUGACUAAGACAGAAGAAAAUGAGAUAGAGGGAGAAGCACUAGGCUGCGAACGCCGAACAACUACCUAUUGUAACUUUGAAUCUGCUAGAAGCUCUCAACCCUCGCAAGCAGGGUCUGAAGCGCCUGAAUCAGCACACGAGGUACAUGGAGUAAAGUGAGUACUCCAACUGAGUGAGUAAUAAUAAUAAAUGCAAACUGAGUAAUAAUAAAUCAAGUAAAGGCACAUCAACAGGCUAUAAAGUAAAAGCUAGUAAAAAUAAUGAAGCAAUAAAAUAUUUGAAGUCACUUCAGUUCAGUUCUUAAAAAUGCCUUUUUUACAGUUAAGCAAGUAAAUGACACGUAACUAGGAGAGAUAAACACAUAAAGAACCGCUCCUCGGGCACAAUAUUAACAAAAUUUGCCCCUCGAGCAACAUCAUAGAACAACACCACUCCCUCGGGUUAUCUCACAUCACAAUGGGUACGAGUGCUCACUAGGGGUGUGCAGACUCCUGGAGAGCCCCUUACGACCCAAUCGCAAUAUCAAUCCAUCUCGUGGCAUAAUCACAUAGGCUUUCAGCCUCAUAUAAACAAGCCUCCUAGUGGCGUACAAAUCUCAGGCUCUCGUCCUCAUAAGCAUAAUCAGGUGUUUCCUCACAACAUAGGCCCUCGAUACUCGGUCAGAAUCUCACAAGCCACUCGGGCAACAGUAAAAUAUGAUGCUUAGACCAAAAUAUCAUUUGAAGUGUUAAAGUAUAGUAAACAUGGUUGAGUUAUGAAAACAGUAGAAUAUAGCAUGACUGAGUUCAAGUAUAAAGUCAAAACAAUGAGGAAAUAUCAGUAAAAAUCCCCUAAGGGUUCAAAUAGUUGGCACGAGGCCUAAAUAUGGCAUUUAGCCCAAAACAUGAUGAUAGCAAAUAGUUUUCAAUCAAAUAUACGGUAAAAUAGUCAUUCAGGAUGGACUACGUCACAAUCCCCAACGGCGCCCGACCACACGCUCGUCAUCUAGCGUGUGCGCCACCUCAAUAUAAUACCACGAUGUGCAAUCCAGGAUUUCAUACCCCUAGGACAACAUUUAUAAUCAUCAUUCACCUCAAUCCGGUCAAAACCGCGAUGCCUUUUCCCAUGAAAUAGGCCUCCACUUGCAUCGAAUCUAUCCACAAUCAGAAUUACGAUGUCAAAAUAUGCUAAGGGAAUGAAUCCCAAGCGAAAAAAAUCAAUUUACAACAUAAAUCCCGAAAUUACCAAAACCCCACCCUUGGGACCACAUCUUGGAAUUCGAUAAAAUUCACAUCAAUAGAUUCCUUAUCUCCUCACGAGUUCAUACAUAUCAAAAGUACCAAAAUCCGACCGCCAUUGGCCCCUCAAAUCCUCAAGUCUAGGUAUCCAAUACCAAGCCCUAAUUUCCCCAAUUUUAACCUUAAUAUCCACUAAUACCAUGAUUAACCAAUGGAAAAAUGAUUAUAAACUCAAGUAAUGAAGAUUAGGGAACUUACCCAACUGAUUCUCUUCGAUUUACCCUUGAUUUCACUGCCCUAGCUCGAUUCCCGUCUUCCAAAAUGGAGAACUUAGCCAAAAAUUCGUGAAGGAAACAUUUUAUACCUUUUGGCCCAGGGAUUACGCACAUGCGGCCAAGAAACCGCUUCUGCGGUACCUAUUCAUUUUUUUCUUUCAUGUGAACGGCCCUAUCUUGUAUCGAAAGGUUUUUCGUGCUAUACACCACGUUGAGAAAGACCAACCUCCUAUGUACCGUACUCUUUUUGUACCUCGAAAGGGGGGUCCUCCUUAUGAUGCUACGGACGGCUGUCCGAAGUGCAAGGGGUAAACUCGGACUCGGAUAGGAUAGGAUUGUGCGCGCCGGGCCCUUCGGGUCUCAUAUUUUGGCCGAGUUUACCGUACCUCCGUCCCCUAUGUUAGGCGGCCGUAAUAUUUUGUUACGUUCUACCGCUGUUACGCCAGAAUAAAAGGUUCCACACGAGCUCCCGUUCUGCGGCGUGGUGGCAGGGCCGCUAGGGGAGUGGCUCCGGGUAUAGAUAGGGUUAAAUCUGCAGGGGUCAUGCAAAUACAUAGGCCCCUUCCCUUCUCUUUUGGAUGAAUGGGGUGGUUUAGAAGGCGCUUUCCGAUCUACGGUCCCUCGGAGCGAAGGGUUAGGCAGGUAGUAUGGGCCCUCUGACUUCCAGCUAUGUGCUGUGCGGCUCCCGCGAAGCGAAUGAAGGGAAGCUCUUCGAGCUUCCGGGUGAGCUUACGCUUACUCUCAGCCUCUUUGAUUGGUAGGCGGGCGGGCUAAGCCCCCUACUUAAGAUUCAAUUCAUAAGGCUAAUUUUAUGUUGUCGUGAGGCUUUGGUUAGGCCGACUACUAUAGGCUAGCUACUUCUAGCUUCUAUACUGGCCCUUCCACUUUGGUGUAGUUUUUGUUUGUAUUGGUACUGAAUCGCAUUUGCAAUCAAUGAUCCGCUUAUGUGGGUUUUCACUUACGCCCCAGGCGUCGCAUCUGCGAUGCACUGCGCACUUGCGCCAACGCAGGUGCAGCUCCUCAGCCACUUCUGCUGCUCCAGCCUUCCUAGCCUCUUUCCGUUUAUGUGAAUCCCUUUCUGCAUCUAUGGGUCGCACCUGCGGCUUCCCAAUCGAAGAUGCGGUUAUGACAGUAGACUCCAACUUCAGCUGCCAUUUCAAACUUCCAUUCUUUCCGUCAACCACCUGAAAUCACCCCGAGGCCCCCGAGACCUCAACCAAAGGCACAAACAAGUCACAUACCACCAUCCAAACUUGCACCAAUCUUCAAAACACCUAAAAAAAUCGAAUCAACGAAAACACAUUAGAUUCAAGCCUAAGUUUCCAAAAUCUUCCGAAUUACGCUUUCGAUCAAAAAGGAUACCAAACCACGUACGAAUGACCUGAAAGUUUGUACACACAUCUCAAAUGACACAACGAGGUAGUGCACUUCCGAAAUUCCAUUCCGACCCCAAUAUCAAAAUCUCACCUAUCAAUCGUAAAACGCCAAAAUUUCAAUUUCGCCAAUUCAAGCUUAAGAACCCGUUUGACGAAGCUGUC
rnacentral:lncRNA from 1 species